CUUUUCAGUUUGUUUGGUUUUUGUAAAUUAGUAUUUUUUAAUUGAGAUGGAAAGCAUGCUGUGAAUAAACGUGAGCCCGGAGCUCUGA